GCGGGGAUGCCAGAGUGGUCAAAUGGGCUGCGAUGAGGUCGCAGUGUGCUUAGUGCCUACGUAGGUUCGAAUCCUGCUCCCCGCA
rnacentral:tRNA from 1 species